GACGAACGCUGGCGGCGUGCCUAAUACAUGCAAGUAGAACGCACAGUUUAUACCGUAGCUUGCUUCACCAUAAACUGUGAGUUGCGAACGGGUGAGUAACGCGUAGGUAACCUGCCUGGUAGCGGGGGAUAACUAUUGGUAACGAUAGCUAAUACCGCAUCAUAUUGAUUAUUGCAUGAUAAUUGAUUGAAAGCUGCUAUUGCUUCACUACUAUAUGGACCUGCGUUGUAUUAGCUAGUAGGUGAGGUAACGGCUCAACUAGGCGACGGUACAUAGCCGGCCGUGGAGGGAGGACAGCCACACUGGGAAUGAGACCAGGCCCAAGAUCCUACGGGAAGCAACAAGAGGGGAACUUCGGAAAAAGACGGAAAGCUGACCGAACAACGCCGCGGGAGUGAAGGAGGGUUUCGGAUCGUAAAGCUCUGUUGUAAGAGAAAAAAGAGUGGGAGAGUAGAAAGUUCACACUGUGACGGUAUCUUAACAGAAAGGGACGGCUAACUACGUG
rnacentral:rRNA from 1 species